UAGAAAAUAAUAUAAGGGAAGUAUAGAGGGUUUUGAUCUCUCUAGUGCGGGUUCGAUUCCUGCUUUUCUAA
rnacentral:tRNA from 2 species